rnacentral:rRNA from 1 species
UGCGUAGGUGGUGAUGCAAGUCUGGUGUGAAAUCUCGGAGCUCAACUCCGAAAUUGCACCGGAUACUGCGUGACUCGAGGACUGUAGAGGAGAUCGGAAUUCACGGUGUAGCAGUGAGAUGCGUAGAUAUCGUGAGGAAGACCAGUUGCGAAGGCGGAUCUCUGGGCAGUUCUGACACUGAGGCACGAAGGCCAGGGGAGCAAACG